rnacentral:rRNA from 1 species
AGUGAACGCUGGCGGUAGGCCUAACACAUGCAAGUCGAACGGCAGCACAGUAAGAGCUUGCUCUUACGGGUGGCGAGUGGCGGACGGGUGAGGAAUACAUCGGAAUCUACUUUUGCGUGGGGGAUAACGUAGGGAAACUUACGCUAAUACCGCAUACGACCUACGGGUGAAAGCAGGGGAUCUUCGGACCUUGCGCGAUUGAAUGAGCCGAUGUCUUAUUAGCUAGUUGGCGGGGUAAAGGACCAACAAGGCGACGAUCCGUAGAUGUUCCGAGCGGAUGAUCAGCCUUACUGGAACUGAUACAUGGUCCAUGUUCCUAUGGGAUGCAGUAUUGGGGAAUAUUGGACAAUGGGCGCAAGCCUGAUCCAGCCAUACCGCGUGGGUGAAGAAUGCCUUCGGGUUUUAAAGCCCUUUUGUUGUGAAAGAAAAGCAGCAGGUUAAUACCCCGCUGUUCUGACGGUACCCAAAGAAUAAGCACCGGCUAACUUCGUG